rnacentral:rRNA from 1 species
GGUUAAACAUCUUCGCAAGAAAUUGCGCAUUGGGCUGUCGCAGUCCUCCGGGACUCCGUCGCCUCAAGUUCAGACCCGAUUGCCUUCGCACGUCGUCGGGGCCCUCUCGACUACACAUGACGUAGCUCGCUUACAAGCAGUGCGCCGGUCGAGUUAGGGCCUGUUCUGUCAUGACGACGGGCGGGCGGUCGAAGCCUCGGACGAGUCGUACGACUCUCCAUCCUCCGACCUGAGAUCAGACGAGACAACCCCCUGAAUUUAAGCAUAUCACUAAGGGGAGGAAAAGAAACUAACUAGGAUUCCCUCAGUAACGGCGAGUGAAGCGGGAAAAGCCCAGCACCGAAUCCCUCGGCCUCGCGCCGCUGGGACCUGUGGUGUUUAGGACGCCUCACUGCGGUGGGGUACGGGUGCCCAAGUCCUUCUGAUCGGGGCCUCUC